rnacentral:misc_RNA from 1 species
AUGAUGAACGUGAUUGUGGAACGACAGUUUGAUGAAACGAAUCAGAUUAGUCUGUUUUAUUCCAUGGACGAUCGUGGGAAAGAAGUCCCGGGUGGAAUUAGAGGGUUGCAGGUGGAACGAGAAGAUCAAACGAUGGAAUCGAAAAGGAUGGUAUUGGACCCCAAGGUCACGAGUCUGCACAGUGAUUACGGAAGCUUCGAUCGACCAUUGGGCGCCGGAGAGGGCCACGAGAGGGACGUCGAGGCGGCGGUUGAUGGAAGUAGCAACGGUAUGGCACAGUCGAGCGACGUUUAUCAACGGCAGCCGUUAUUACCUGGUGCACCGACCAAGGGUAAGGAUAAGUGGUCCGGCGUGGCAUCCGGCUCCGACUAUUACGUGGACGACGAAGAUGAGAAGAUCGACAGUCUUGGCCGGCAUCCUGGCAUACCGAAUGGCUCAGGGAACGGUGUCGUUAAACUCGACAUACCUGCACCUCUUCGAGAAGAACCUCGUUUUCCUAAAGAGAAAUGGAAAACGUUCCUUGCAUUUCUAUUCAUGGUCGUGAACUUCAUAUUAACCACCGCGUCCCUCGCAAUGGUGCACGAACGGGUUCCGGAUCGAAAUACAUACGGACCGCUCCCGGAUGUUGUGUUAGACAAUAUUGCCGCUCAGGAUUGGGCCCUUAACGUGUCGGAAGUUUUGAUUAUGAUAUUGUCAAAUUCAGCGAUGGUUUUUAUUAUUUUUCAUAAACAUAGGUUUAUCGUUGUUAGACGGAUAUUUCUUUUGAUGGGAUUGCUGUACUUGAUGAGAAGUAUCACGAUGUACGUGACAGUACUGCCUGUUGCCAGUAAAACAUAUUACUGCAGCCCAAAAGCAAACAAUACCAGUCCUUUACUCGUUACAAAAAGGGUUUUGCAACUCAUUUCUGGCUUUGGCUUGUCCAUAAACGGCAAGCAUACUUAUUGCGGAGAUUACAUUUACAGCGGUCAUACAGUCGUGCUUGUACUUAGUUACCUGAUUAUCAAAGAGUAUUCUCCGAGAAGAUGUCAACCGAUACAUUGGCUAGCGGGGAUUAUUGUUCUUAUUGGGGUAAUUAUGGUCCUGGUAGCUCACGGACAUUAUACCGUAGAUGUCUUUAUAGCAUACUAUGUAACUACACGCUUAUGGUAUAUCUAUCAUACGUUAGCUAAUAAUUCACAUCUUAAGCAAUACGAACCAAACAACUUUUUGGCCCGACUCUGGUGGUUUCCUAUCUUUAAAUAUUUUGAGAAAAACGUGGGCGGCACGGUGCCACGACAAUACGACUGGCCUUUACCCUGGCCUCGACGAUUCCUUGCCAAGCACCCUAAUCGGGACAGUUAAUGUCUGUCUCUGAUUUCAUGAUAGAGGCUGUCAAACAACGGAGUUACUUUAUUGUAAUUUAUGUAUAUAUAUAUAUAUAUAUAUAACAUAUAUGUAUACGUACCUAGGCAUAUGAAAAUGUGAAGAUAAAGCUUUACUAGAAAGUGGUGCGAGAGAUCUGUGUGCAAGUUUUCGUCAUUAUUGAUGAGUAAAUUCAAUUUCGAGACUUGAUGUUAAACUUGCGGUGUUCAUUUCUUUAAGAAAGAAAAGAAAAGAAAAGAAAAAGACAACUAUAACAACUAUGAUGAAAACUAUGAUAAAAAACAUGAACGAUAGUGAAAACAAAUGCUUGUACCGUCAUGUUCGUUAUCGUCCAAUCGCGAAACCUAUUUUUUUCUUGAUUUUGAUACGACUUAUACAUACAAUGUAAGAGGCUAGAUAAAUGAUAGAUCGAGAUAUUUAGUCUCACGAUGAAUUCAUGUAGAGAUGAAGGUAUUCGAAAGUUACCAACAAAGUAGUGUAUAAAAUAAAAUCCUAGAUAUCUCUAUUUUCAGAUACUCCAAAUGUGAAAUACUUAGAUGUAAAAAAAAGAAAAAAAAAAAAAAAAAAAAAAAAAAGAAAAAAAAGAAAAAAAAGGGAAUCAUGCUACCGUACCGUAAUUCGGUUAAGUGUAGUAAUGCAAAACUGUCUUGUUGAACGUAGCAUUAACAAGCAAGAGAUGAAUUUUUUUGUAAUCUUUUUCAUUUGAACAACGAUACGUAUUGGAAAAUUAAAAAUAAAAAAAGAAAAAAAAAAAAGAAAAAGGUGCGUUGCUUCGAUAAAAAUAAGGUAAAAAAUAAAAAAAAUAGUGAACUUUUGAUCGCCGCGAGACUUUCCUCUGGUUAAUCUGUUCGAAAUACGUUCUAAUCUUUCAACUUCCAAAUAACCAAAACGAUAUUCUUUAUAUUUACUACUACACGGCGGUAUGCCUUAUUCCGAUGAAAGUCAAUCGAAUCGCAAUUUUCGAAUUGUUAAAUCGGUCAAUUAUCGUUCGUUUUUCUACUUUAUAAUUUUUCACGUCAAUUUUCCCUCGAAAUUGGAGCCUUUUUUCUUAAAUGAAUAUUUUUUAUCGCAGAAGCAGUUAGUGAAAGAUUGGCAUAGUUUUAAAAUUCAACCAAUGAUCGUGCAAUUUCGUGGGACCAAAUACAAAGAGUAGUCGGAAAAUGUACUACCUUUCGAGUAGCGAUCAUCAUGAUUUUAAGCGUCUUUAUUGGCGCUUUGGCAUCGCAAUGUGUUCUCUUCGAUUGAUGAAAUUUAUCUGCGAUCACACGAUUGAGAAACCAAGUGUAUUACGUGUGCAUGUCAAUAAAAUUCGUAAUUCCUCGGAAUAAGGUCGUCUUUAUAAUCUACACAUACCAGAUGUUGUCACGUACGCGUGAAUGAUAUUAAAUACGUUAAAAAAAAAAAAAAAUACGUGUUAAAGCCUCGGAAGAAAUCUCACAAAAUAAAAUCUUUCAAAGAAUGUUUUCUAAAUAGCUCAUUUUUUGCACGAUUUUAUUUUGUCCUUCUUUCAUCUUGUAAACUCGCAUAGUAAUUUCUCAUGAUUUUUGCUCCGGUCUAUUCGUCAGAGCAAUUUUUAAUUUUAUUAUAUGAUAUUUCUUCAAAGUAAAUAGCACAAAAUUAUAUAGAAUCUCUACGAUAAAAGGGUGUAAAGAAAGAAUGUUUUAUAUAAAUCCUUGAUUGUUCAAGAAAAGAGUGAGAAAUAAUUGAAAGAAUAAAAAAAAAAAAUUGGAAUUAUUUUUUGUUGCGAUAGAAAACUUACAAAGUUAAGCUUACAAAGUCUGUGAAUAGUUUAAGUAACAUUGCCGGCGAUUUGUUGUCUUAUGCACAUACGAUUUAUUGUUAAUACUCGUGUAUAAUCCUCGUUAUUCGUUAUACGAGUUGUCUACAUUCAAAUAAUACAUGUUCGUUUCGAAGUGGAUGCAAAUAUAACGGUCGAUGAUCCUAUUUUAAAAAUCUUUUUUUUUUUCGACAUGCGCGCGGUCGAACGAAUUUGACGACGCAGGAAGAAAAAAAAGAGAUAUUCGUGACCAAGCGAAGAAAGAAUGGUCGCAGCGGGAUAAAUUGAAUGAAAUUUGUUGGCUCUUAUUACGUGUAAUUAAGUCUCUUUCCGUCUGUGAUGAUAAUG